rnacentral:rRNA from 1 species
UAAUACGUAGGGGUCGAGCGUUGUCCGGAGUUACUGGGCGUAAAGCGUGCGCAGGCGGCUCAUUGCGCCCGGCGUGAAAGCCCCCGGCUCAACCGGGGAGGGUCGUCGGGGACGGGUGAGCUUGAGGGUAUCAGGGGCUGGUGGAAUUCCCGGUGUAGUGGUGAAAUGCGUAGAGAUCGGGAGGAACACCCGUGGCGAAGGCGGCCAGCUGGGAUACACCUGACGCUGAGGCACGAAGGCGUGGGGAGCGAACGGGAUUAGAUACCCCGGUAGUCCACGCAGUAAACGAUGCAGACUAGGCGUGGGGGGACUUGACCCCCUCCGUGCCGGAGCUAACGCGGGAAGUCUGCCGCCUGGGGAGUACGGCCGCAAGGCUA